CUACGGGGGGCUGCAGUGGGGAAUAUUGCACAAUGGUGGAAACUCUGAUGCAGCAACGCCGCGUGGAGGAUGACACUUUUCGGAGCGUAAACUCCUUUUAUAUAGGAAGAAGAUGACGGUACUAUAUGAAUAAGCGCCGGCUAACUCCGUGCCAGCAGCCGCGGUAAUACGGAGGGCGCAAGCGUUACUCGGAAUCACUGGGCGUAAAGAGCGUGUAGGCGGAUUAAAAAGUCAGAAGUGAAAUCCUAUAGCUUAACUAUAGAACUGCUUCUGAAACUCUUAAUCUAGAAUAUGGGAGAGGUAGAUGGAAUUUCUGUUGUAGGGGUAAAAUCCGUAGAGAUCAGAAGGAAUACCGAUUGCGAAGGCGAUCUACUAGAACAUUAUUGACGCUGAGACGCGAAAGCGUGGGGAGCAAACAGGAUUAGAUACCCUGGUAGUC
rnacentral:rRNA from 1 species